rnacentral:rRNA from 2 species
GAAGCUUUACUGUAUCUUGGAAUUGGGUUUGGGCCUUGCUUGCGCAGGAUAGGUGGGAGGCUUUGAAGAUAUUCUUGCGGGAAUAUUGGAGCCAAUGGUGAGAUACCACUCUAGCAUGGCUAAAAUUCUAACUUUGAACCGUUAUCCGGUCGAAGAACAGUUUCAGGUGGGCAGUUUGACUGGGGCGGUCGCCUCCUAAAAGGUAACGGAGGCGUGCAAAGGUUCCCUCAGGCUGGUCGGACAUCAGUCGUAGAGUGUAAAGGCAUAAGGGAGCUUGACUGCGAGACCUACAAGUCGAGCAGAGACGAAAGUCGGCCUUAGUGAUCCGACGGUUCCGAGUGGAAGGGCCGUCGCUCAACGGAUAAAAGUUACUCUAGG